CAUACUAAACUGUGAGUGAGAACUGUUGAUUAGGUAGAAUUAUGUUUGAUUGCGUGAUCUUGAUUUAAAGUCUAGCAAGAGAGCUUUACCCCUUUUGUAUACUUGCACAUUUUACCUUAGUAUACAUCCCUCUCUCACUUUGUCUAAUUCCUAAGGUCACUUUGUUUAUAUAUGAACAUUUUGGUACUAGGUGUUGCGGAUCCUGAUGGAACUUGGCGAAACUGCAAGCUCAAUAUAAAGAACUGCUCAUCCGCUCAGCUCAAAACCAUUCAAAAGUUGGAUUUGAAUCUUGAGUACAAGCCAGAUGUCAGGGAAGACUUAGAGGCUGUGGGGAAGAAACUUGAAGAAUGCACCGGACAAUCAUGUGGAAGAUGGAGCAGUGACGAAAGCUUUUGAAGUGAUAGAGAGAAAUUUGUUUAGGUAGAAGUUGUACUGAGGCUAGAAGUUGGUCUUUUUUGGGUUGGCCUUAAUUGCAGUUCGCCUUAUUUUGUGAUCCCUUAUUUUGUGGAUACAUCGGAUCCAUUUAGAAUGCUAUGGGAUUAUAACAGCUUUCUAUUAUGAUUAAAUUACCAUUCUUUUGGUCA